UAGAGGGGGCAAGCGUUGUUCGGAAUUACUGGGCGUAAAGGGCGCGUAGGCGGCCUGCUAAGUCGAACGUGAAAUCCCCGGGCUCAACCCGGGAACUGCGCCCGAUACUGGCAGGCUCGAAUCCGGGAGAGGGAUGUGGAAUUCCAGGUGUAGCGGUGAAAUGCGUAGAUAUCUGGAGGAACACCGGUGGCGAAGGCGGCAUCCUGGACCGGUAUUGACGCUGAGGCGCGAAAGCCAGGGGAGCAAACGGGAUUAGAUACCCCGGUAGUCCUGGCCCUAAACGAUGAAUGCUUGGUGUGGCGGGUAUCGAUCCCUGCCGUGCCGAAGCUAACGCAUUAAGCAUUCCGCCUGGGGAGUACGGUCGCAAGGCUG
rnacentral:rRNA from 1 species